rnacentral:rRNA from 1 species
ACGGGAGGCAGCAGUGGGGAAUAUUGCACAAUGGGCGAAAGCCUGAUGCAGCAACGCCGCGUGAGGGACGACGGCCUUCGGGUUGUAAACCUCUUUUAGCAAGGAAGAAGCGAAAGUGACGGUACUUGCAGAAAAAGCGCCGGCUAACUACGUGCCAGCAGCCGCGGUAAUACGUAGGGCGCAAGCGUUAUCCGGAAUUAUUGGGCGUAAAGAGCUCGUAGGCGGUUUGUCGCGUCUGCUGUGAAAUCCCGAGGCUCAACCUCGGGCCUGCAGUGGGUACGGGCAGACUAGAGUGCGGUAGGGGAGAUUGGAAUUCCUGGUGUAGCGGUGGAAUGCGCAGAUAUCAGGAGGAACACCGAUGGCGAAGGCAGAUCUCUGGGCCGUAACUGACGCUGAGGAGCGAAGGGUGGGGAGCAACAGGCUUAGAUCCCUGGUAGCCACCCCGUAACGUUGGGACUAGUUGUGGGGCCUUUCACGGAUCCGUGACGCAGCUACGCAUAAGUUCCCGCCUGGGAGACGGCGCAGGCUAAACUCAAGGAUUGACGGGACCGCACAGCGCGGACAUGCGAUUAUUCAUGCACGCGAAAACUUACAAGGUUGAAUACCGAGACCCCUAGAAUAGGGAUCUUGGACCUCGGAACGGGGUGAUGGUUGCGCAGUCGGGCGGGAAUGUGGGUAAGCCCGAACGACGAACCUCGUCUAUUUGCAGCCGAAUGUGGAAUCAUGGAUCUGCGGGUCACUCGAGGAGGGGGAGCGCAAUCUCAGCCCUAUGCUGGGUUCCGCUGUAAAGGCGGACAAGGUGAAACGUGGGGGAGAUCCAAAACCGCCAGUCGAUGGGUUGACCGCCCUGAGCGGGCCUAAACCAAAAAACUCGGGAAAUUCCGGUUGACCCCCCCAGUAAAAGGAACUAACGGGCCCUUGGGGGCGAGGGGUAGAAAAAAAAAAGAAGAAAAAAAGCGGGGGGCGGGGGGAGGGGGGCCGGGGGGGGGAGGGGGCCCCAAGGACCCCCCACCGAAAAACCCCCCCAGA